AGUAAAUAAUGUAGUGUGUUUGAAGGAAGAGGUAAAACACCAAACUUAGUACUUUUUUUGUUGUCCCCAUCAUUUCUGCUGGAACGUAAAGGGGUACUGCUGGGAUGCAUCGGUGUGGGCCAGGUAGAGCUGUUGGAUCUGAAGGCAGUUUCUUUGAAGGAUCCUAAUCUGCACAGCUGCAGUCACUAUCAAUCCAUACCCACAGUCCCAAGUCCCACCUUUGGGACUUCCAGCUUUUGGGCUGAAAGUCAGUAAGUUUGGGGAGCAAAGUUGUGAGCCAUAUGAAUGAAACCAUGAGCUUAUCCCAUGGGAAAGAAAUGUGGAUGUGCUGCACUUCAGCAGGGAUCUUGGAUUGUCUGACCAGGCCUGUUCUACUGGCUUGUCCUAUAGAUCCAAAGCAGGAAUGAUCCCGGUGCUGACUCCUCCAUCGCUCUGGAAGGAGUGUUACAGAGAACACAGAACAGUUUGUGAAGAUGAAACCAGGACUGCUGUCUUUUGUUUUGACGCUUUGCUGUGUUCUGGGAUCACAGGUGUUACUACAAGAUUCCAGUUUUUCACUGGGGAGAAUCCAAGUGUUUCAAGUGAGUUCAAGCAGAAUUUCGCUGCGUUGAACUGGCCUGAUUUGGGAUGCAAACCGACCUCUGAAACACCGAAAUUUCCCGUGGGAGCAGAAAUUCGGAAUUCUGCUCAGCUCCAGUUACUCUGUGCAUGGAAAUGGCCUCAAGCAAACAAACAGCGCAGACAGGAGAUGCGCCUGGUUUGGUUGAGACUGAUGAGCCCGGAGCUGUGAAGAAGCUCAGUCUGACUGCAGCUGCUGCUGGACCUGCAUGCAUUGUUCCCCGUGCCCAGAGCUUCCCUGAGCCAGCCCUGUAUUUUCUGAGCCAAUGAUACCCGUGACAAAUACCUGGUGUCAUUGAUAUUCCAUUAGUUUCCUUCAGUGAAAGACCGGACAGCUUUAAAAAGCCAAUAAAUUCCCACACGUUGUCUCUAAGAGAAGGAUA
rnacentral:lncRNA from 1 species